GUAUAUACAGAUAUACAGACAGAAAAAAGAGAAUGCUGGAAUAAGAUUGUAAAUUUAGAUACAAAAUUGAUUAUGUCUUAAAGGGUAAUGAAAUCACUGGGUAAUCUUUUCUAUUGAACAUAAAUAAUCUGCAACCUAUAAAUCUAUAAGUUAAAUCUAACUUUGCAGGGGUAAAGUUACAUUAAUAAAUCUAACUAAUCUAAUAAAUGUAACCAACUAACAAAUCUAACUAAUAAAUCUAAUCAAUAAUAAAUAGAAUAAGUAAAAUCACUAACUCCUCCCAAAAUCUCCCGGAUUAUAUGAGCCUUAGGCAGGGUUGUUAGUUACUAGAACAUAGUGUAAAUUAGAAAGACUGCUCAGAAAUCUGUUUUUGCCUUAUUUCUAAGUUUCAGAUAGUUUUAAUCACCCAUUUCCUAAGUUACACAGAGAAGUAGGGGCUCAGACCCAUGUCGCAUCCGGCUCCUGCUGCAGCCACAUCGAGUCCAUGAACACGGAGGGACAACCUGGACUUGGUCAGGGCUUCCAGGUGGGGCGGGGAGAGGAGGCAGGGCACCGUGAGAGAAUUCACCUGUCCUGCUCCUGCCAGAGCUGGAACUCACUCAGAGUUCGGUGCUAGCAUGCCUUGUAAGAGAUACACUGACACUGUCCCCCAUGGGCUUUGUCUCAUCCAGGACCUGUGAUUUCCCUUGACUGGUUGCCAGGGUGACUGUACCUGUGGGAGCCGCAGAACUGGCUCUGAGCGGAACCCCUGGGUUCCAGAGAGCAUCACCAGGAGGGCGGAGUGUGCAGGAAGGAAGAGGAAGAGGAAGAGGGGGAGCACAACUAACAGGGACAACCACAAGCUCAUCCUCAGAGGUAAACUGAGGUCAAUAAUUCACACUUGCCUGAUGAGUCUUCAAAGUGUUAAUCUUCUCCUGGUAUUUUCGGUAUUUCUUCUCCAUCCACUUGGCAAUUCAAUCCACUCCCUGGGGAGCAGUAUCAUCCAGCACCUUGGUGACCUCACAGCGCCCCUCCCAGAUUGAUUUUUCUCCUAUUCACGCAAAGUUGAGAACCCAACCAUCUAUUAAGAGAGAAGGAGGAGGACUUGCACAGUUCUUGUCGCAUAGAAGAUGCCCAGUGAAUGUAGAUCCUCCACCAAAAUGUUCCAUGAGAACAGGGAUUUCCACGCCUCUGCUUUUGCACACUUCUACAUUCCAGUGUCUAGAACAGCACCAGGUAAUUGGUAGGAGCUCAAUAAAUAACUGUUGAAUAUAUGGAUAAUAUAUGAGUGAUAAAUGAAUGAGAAAAGAAAGAAAGGCAGGCAAGUUGGAAGGCAGGAAAUUAUAUUUGAGGUAGAGGAGGCACACCAGAUGAUAUGUCAUGUCACUGUUUUCUCCGUGUGCAUCUGCCAUCCUGUCUAGGCAUCCACAAAUGUGUCUGUGAGAGGUAAAUGGCCACAGAUACGUGAUCCCCAGCCAGCUGUCUUAGUUGCCACAGGCCAGACACUGGCAAGAAUUUAGGCUGGCUGAUCACUCACCGUCCAGGUUAGGGGCUAAAAUUCCUACCAGAUCCUACCAGACCCAAGGUAACAUCUCCCCUCCUCCCUCCUCCUUUCCUUUCCCCCUGAUCUCCAGCAGCCCCUCACCCUUUCAGCCGAAAGACCCACUCACCCGGAGAGACCCAAUGUGGAAGAGCAGUCUCUGAGGUUCAGGGCAGAUGAGGAGCAGUUGGCUGAGAUGUGUUUUAUAGGCUCCGGCCUGACUAGGCUGUGGGUGAGCCCUGG
rnacentral:lncRNA from 1 species